AGAGUUUGAUCCUGGCUCAGGAUGAACGCUAGCUACAGGCUUAACACAUGCAAGUCGAGGGGAAACGGCAUUAAGUGCUUGCACUUUUUGGACGUCGACCGGCGCACGGGUGAGUAACGCGUAUCCAACCUGCCCCUUACCAGGGAAUAACCCGUUGAAAGACGGACUAAUGCCCUAUGGAGUCCUUUGACGGCAUCAGAUUAGGACUAAAGAUUCAUCGGUAUGGGAUGGGGAUGCGUCUGAUUAGCUUGUUGGCGGGGUAACGGCCCACCAAGGCAUCGAUCAGUAGGGGUUCUGAGAGGAAGGUCCCCCACAUAGGAACUGAGACACGGUCCUAACUCCUACGGGAGGCAGCAGUGAGGAAUAUUGGUCAAUGGGCGCUAGCCUGAACCAGCCAAGUAGCGUGCAGGAUGACGGCCCUAUGGGUUGUAAACUGCUUUUAUGCGGGGAUAAAGUCACCCACGUGUGGGUGUUUGCAGGUACCGCAUGAAUAAGGACCGGCUAAUUCCGUGCCAGCAGCCGCGGUAAUACGGAAGGUCCGGGCGUUAUCCGGAUUUAUUGGGUUUAAAGGGAGUGUAGGCGGCCUGUUAAGCGUGUUGUGAAAUGUAGAUGCUCAACAUCUGAACUGCAGCGCGAACUGGCUGGCUUGAGUACACGCAACGUGGGCGGAAUUCAUGGUGUAGCGGUGAAAUGCUUAGAUAUCAUGAGGAACUCCUAUUGCGAAGGCAGCUCACGGGAGUGUCACUGACGCUUAAGCUCGAAGGUGCGGGUAUCAAACAGGAUUAGAUACCCUGGUAGUCCGCACGGUAAACGAUGGAUGCCCGCUGUUGGCGCUUUGCGUCAGCGGCUAAGCGAAAGCAUUAAGCAUCCCACCUGGGGAGUACGCCGGCAACGGUGAAACUCAAAGGAAUUGACGGGGGCCCGCACAAGCGGAGGAACAUGUGGUUUAAUUCGAUGAUACGCGAGGAACCUUACCCGGGCUUGAAUUGCAGAGGAAAGAUCCAGAGAUGGUGAUGCCCUUCGGGGUCUCUGUGAAGGUGCUGCAUGGUUGUCGUCAGCUCGUGCCGUGAGGUGUCGGCUUAAGUGCCAUAACGAGCGCAACCCCUUUUUCCGGUUGCCAUCAGGUGAUGCUGGGCACUCCGGGGACACUGCCACCGUAAGGUGUGAGGAAGGUGGGGAUGACGUCAAAUCAGCACGGCCCUUACGUCCGGGGCUACACACGUGUUACAAUGGCCGGUACAGAGGG
rnacentral:rRNA from 1 species